GUUCACUAGCGGUGAUGCUGCAGGACGACGAGACAAGACGCAGCAGUCGCAGCUGGUUGGCUGGUUCACAUCGCGCGGCUGAUUGAAGGCUUGGAGAAGGCGAGAAAGCGCGGCUCAACAGGCGAGCAAUGCCGCGGCUAAGCAAGCAAGUAGUGGCAGCGGCUGGUUGUUGGUUCACGUCGACGGUGACGUUGCUAGCUGUCGGCUGAGUUGAAUUAGG
rnacentral:lncRNA from 1 species